AUAACUCCAAACUUCCUUAAGAUUAUAUUCCUCGUGUGGAUGUUUCAUCCUCUCUUCUACAUCUUUUAGAUUUUCUUUGGACCAUUUAAUCCUAACCUGAGUGACCAUGACCAGUUUCCCUACGUCCAUCAGAUAGCCACCAAGGACACACGUUUGUCCCAUGGCAUGGUCUCCUUGAUGCUUCAUUUUAGAUGGACUUGGAUUGGCCUGGUCAUAUCAAGUGAUGACCAGGGUAUUCAGUUUCUCUCAGACUUGAGAGAAGAAAUGCAAAUGUUUGGGAUCUGUUUAGCUUUUGUGAAUGUGAUCCCAGAAAACAUGCAGAUAUACAUGACAAGGGCUAUGAUAUAUGAUAAAGAAAUUAUGACAUCAACAGCCAAGGUUGUUAUCAUUUAUGCUGAAAUGAAUUCUACUGUAGAAAUCAGCUUUAGAAGAUGGGAAUAUUUAGGCGCUCAGAGAAUCUGGAUCACAACCUCACAAUGGGAUGUCACCACAAAUAAAAAAGGUUUCAGCCUUGAUUUCUUCCAUGGGACUGUCACUUUUGCACACCACCACAGUGAAAUUACUAAAUUUAGGAAUUUUUUGCAAACAAUGAACACUAGGAUAUACCCAGUAAACAUUUCUGAGUCUAUACUUGGCUGGAAUUAUUUUAAUUGCUCAGUAUCAAAGAACACCAAUAAAAUGGUUCCUUUUACACUCAAUGACACAUUGGAAUGGACAGCACUGCACAAAUAUGACCUGGUUCUGAGUGAAGAAGGUUACAAUUUGUAUAAUGCUGUGUAUGCUGUGGCCCACACCUACCAUGAACUCAUUCUUCAACAAGUAGAGUCUCAGAAAAUGGCAGAACCCAAAGGAGUAUUCUUUGACUGUCAGCAGGUGUCUUCCUUGCUGAAAACCAUAGUAUUUACUAACCCAGUUGGAGAACUGGUGAAUAUGAACCAUAGGGAAAAUCAGUGUGCAGAAUAUGACAUUUUCAUCAUUUGGAGUUUUCCACAAGGCCUUGGAUUAAAAAUAAAAAUAGGAAGCUAUUUUCCUUGUCUCUUACAGAGUCAACAACUUCAUACACCUGAAGACUUGGAGUGGGAUAGAGGAGGAACAUCA